rnacentral:rRNA from 1 species
GACGAACGCUGGCGGCGUGCCUAAUACAUGCAAGUCGAGCGGAAGUUGGAGAGCUUGCUCUUCAACUUUAGCGGCGGACGGGUGAGUAACACGUGGGCAACCUGCCCUGCAGAUCGGGAUAACUCCGGGAAACCGGUGCUAAUACCGAAUAGUUUUCGCCACCUCCUGGUGGCGUACGGAAAGACGGUUUCGGCUGUCACUGCAGGAUGGGCCCGCGGCGCAUUAGCUGGUUGGUGGGGUAACGGCCCACCAAGGCAACGAUGCGUAGCCGACCUGAGAGGGUGAUCGGCCACACCGGGACUGAGACACGGCCCAGACUCCUACGGGAGGCAGCAGUAGGGAAUCUUCCGCAAUGGACGAAAGUCUGACGGAGCAACGCCGCGUGAGUGACGAAGGUUUUCGGAUCGUAAAACUCUGUUGUGAGGGAAGAACAAGUACCAACUAACUACUGGUACCUUGACGGUACCUCACCAGAAAGCCACGGCUAACUACGUGCCAGCCGCCGCCGUAAUAC